rnacentral:rRNA from 1 species
GACGAACCGAGCGACCGUUAUUCGGAAUCACUGGGCUUAAAGGGUGCGUAGGCGGGCUGUCAAGUCUGGGGUGAAAUCCCACGGCUCAACCGUGGAACUGCCUUAGAUACUGAUGGCCUCGAGGAAGGUAGGGGCAUGCGGAACUGUAGGUGGAGCGGUGAAAUGCGUUGAUAUCUACAGGAACUCCGGUGGCGAAAGCGGCGUGCUGGACCUUUUCUGACGCUGAGGCACGAAAGCUAGGGGAGCAAACGGG